AUUCCAUUUGGUGCAGGAAAGAGGAUAUGCCCUGGCAUGACAUUAGGUCUUGUUAAUUUAGAGCUUGUCCUUGCACAACUGCUGUAUCAUUUUGACUGGAAACUUCCUGAUGGAAUAACCCCAGAAAAUCUCGACAUGAGUGAAGGUUUUGGUGGUGCAAUCAAAAGAGGAGUAGAUCUUAAGUUGAUUCCUAUUCCAUUCCGUCCUCAGCCCAUCACAAGAAUUUUUAAUUAGUUUACUGACGGCCAUGAUUUUACCAGAACACAUUCUCUUUCCACCACCAAAUGGAACAAGUUCAAAAGUAGUA
rnacentral:misc_RNA from 1 species